rnacentral:hammerhead_ribozyme from 1 species
ACCUAGAUGACGAGUUCCAAACAGGACGAAACGUGCAUCCUUGCUGGAU